rnacentral:rRNA from 1 species
GACGAACCGUGCGAACGUUAUCCGGAUUCACUGGGUUUAAAGGGUGCGUAGGUGGGAUGGUAAGUCAGUGGUGAAAUCUCCAAGCUUAACUUGGAAACUGCCGUUGAUACUAUCAUUCUUGAAUCUCGUGGAGGUAAGCGGAAUAUGUCAUGUAGCGGUGAAAUGCUUAGAUAUGACAUAGAACACCGAUAGCGAAGGCAGCUUGCUACACGAGUAUUGACACUGAGGCACGAAAGCGUGGGGAUCAAACAGG